UGAAAUGCGAAAAGUAAUGCGAUUUGCAUGAAUCUGUGAGUCAUCAAGUCUUUGAACGCACCUUGCACCGCGCUAGCAAUGGCACGGUAUACCUGUUUGAGAAUCGUAAAACUCUCUUCCCACUGUCCUUUGGGACUGGUUGGGAGACUUGUCGGUUGUGCGGCGCAAGCCGUACUCUGAUUAAAUGGAGUAAGUCUGGAUCAGGCUGGUGGCCUGGGACAUUGUGUGCUAGAGACGUCGCUUCGGCUGACUGUCUUGUCACAAUGCGUCCUUGGCUAUUCAAAGCUGGUCUGGUUCUAGACUUUUUCAGUGGGGCUCCCGGUGCAAACUUGGAUCCUACAACCUCCUUUUUUUGAUCUCAAAUCAGGUAAGGCUACCCGCUGAACUUAA
rnacentral:misc_RNA from 1 species